UGGCACCUCUCUAUCUAAGGUACAGUGCACUAGAUGAUCAGGAUCAAAUUUAAUAUUUUAGAUCCCAAAAUCAGGAAGCAAGAUUUUCCUUUUUGGAAAAGAACUUAACUAUAUAUAUCUCCUAAUCUAAAAAAAAUUAGAUAGAGUAACUACAAGCAAAGUUGAUAUAAAAAUCAAAAUCAACCACUAGUAUAAAUUUUAUUUUUUCAUAAUUAUUUCUACUAGUCAUGUUUAUAUCGGGAGAGCUAUAUCCUCUUUUAGCUUGUUACGCACCA
rnacentral:lncRNA from 1 species